rnacentral:rRNA from 1 species
UACGUAGGGUGCAAGCGUUGUCCGGAAUUAUUGGGCGUAAAGAGCUCGUAGGCGGUUCGUCGCGUCGGCUGUGAAAACCCGGAGCUCAACUCCGGGCCUGCAGUCGAUACGGGCGGACUCGAGUUCGGCAGGGGAGACUGGAAUUCCUGGUGUAGCGGUGAAAUGCGCAGAUAUCAGGAGGAACACCGGUGGCGAAGGCGGGUCUCUGGGCCGAUACUGACGCUGAGGCGCGAAAGCGUGGGGAGCGAACAGG